rnacentral:rRNA from 1 species
CCUACGGGUGGCAGCAGUGAGGAAUAUUGGUCAAUGGACGCAAGUCUGAACCAGCCAUGCCGCGUGCAGGAAGACGGCUCUAUGAGUUGUAAACUGCUUUUGUACGAGGGUAAACGCAGAUACGCGUAUCUGUCUGAAAGUAUCGUACGAAUAAGGAUCGGCUAACUCCGUGCCAGCAGCCGCGGUAAUACGGAGGAUUCAAGCGUUAUCCGGAUUUAUUGGGUUUAAAGGGUGCGCAGGCGGUCUGUUAAGUCAGCGGUCAAAGCCCGGGGCUCAACCCCGGCCCGCCGUUGAAACUGGCAGUCUCGAGUUGGAGAGAAGUAUGCGGAAUGCGCGGUGUAGCGGUGAAAUGCAUAGAUAUCGCGCAGAACUCCGAUUGCGAAGGCAGCAUGCCGGCUCCACACUGACGCUGAGGCACGAAAGCGUGGGUAUCGAACAGGAUUAGAUACCCUUGUAGUC